AAGGCAUUUAUUAUUUAGUCUCCCAGACCAGAAUCAAACGUAAAACAAGAGGAACCAAAUUAAGCCUUUACUGGGCUUAAAAACUUGACUCACAGAGAAUCAAAAUAGCCCCUUGCUGGAGUGCGCCAAGACAAAACAAAUGACCAGGGAAAAACCACAAAAGUAGACUUUUCGUUAAAAAAAAGAGAACAAUGUUUAUUGGUGGGAUUUUCUUUUGGAUAUGUACAAUACUAGUGCAUGAGCAUUAUGCUGACAAAAAAUUCCAAACAUCACAAAGUUACUUCCAAAGCCUGGAAGUCCAAACAGCGAAGUCCUUAGUCUGAAACUAAGUCAACAGAAACAAGUCAAUAGUGGCUUUUUGUGUUUUUGUUCUUUUUUUUUUUUUAAACAACAAAGUACCUGCCAGAAUGACUGUGCAAAGACCUGACACGUAAUAACCCGCAGUGAGAUGUACAGAAAUCCAUAAGACAACAUAGAAUUUACACAAGAUAACAAGGUAAAUAUUUGUAUAAGAACUUCCUCCAAAAGUGGAAGCAUGUGAUAGCUGGCUAGUUUGGGAGGGGGGAAAAAGCUGGAAAAUACUAGCACGGGAUGCCCUCAAUUCAUAGUCUACAUUCACAGCAAAUGUCAAGUCUUCUAGCUCCGAUGGCUGCCAGUAUCCAGCCUCCCAUCCGCAAUUAAUCCCUUUAUCAUCCUGAUAUAAUAAAAAUACAUUUAAUCCAAACUUCUCGUUCCAUUUUCUCUCUGCUGUAGUUCUUGUCAACUUGCAUUAUACAAAUAUAACACAAACUGAGACAUACCCUCAGGAAAAAAGAAACACUCACACAGUUUCCCAGCAUGAGCCAGAUUAAUCACAGCUAAUCAUUUCAAUACUAAGCGAUGAUACACAUAACAUCAUAUAAACCCCAUUAAGCAAAUUCUGUGGCGAUAACUCUUGACGGAGGUGAGGGAAGAGAGAAGUAAUUGUCAAAAAAUUAAGCACUGAAUGUAUCCUGGUGCUCUAACAUACUUUCUUUCACUGUUUGGCUGUAGCCUGCGUCUUACUUAUCCAGAAACAGUGCGAAGCACAGAGAAGAGCUAACAAGCCUUGUGCAUAUGCCUGAUCUCUACAGUGAAUUCUCCAGCUAAUACGAUGGUAAUUUGGUGUUUAAAAACUGUUUUCCUUCCAUUGUUACCCAUGAAUACUCUUCUCUAGGCUGCUAAACAGACUGUAGAUCAGAUAAAAGUGGUUUCUGCAUCCCUGAAUGCCAGCGCUUCACCCACCCAUUGGCGUCUGCAUUGCGUCUCCUGUCCUUGCACCAUGUACUAUCUUCACGAAUUGUUAAGGAUUUGGGGUGCAGCCUCUAGCAGAAGGAUUACUAAAUCUAGCCAACUAACAGUGGAGUGAAAAGCGUCUGUGUCUCUCAGCUUGUGAUACUCAUGGGAGCAGACUUACCCGUUUCAAAAAGCCACCAGUCUCAAAGGGCUAUAAACAUGCAUAAAAUGAGCAAGAUUUCUCUCUUUCUAGCUACCAACCUGUUUCCAGGACAGUCUCUUUUGUUUCUGAGCACUUUAAAGGCUGCAGGCUUUGCUAGUCAGGCAAAUGCUGCGUCCGUCACCCAUCGCUUUUGUGUCUUCAGUCUGUCUGCUGCCUCGCUCCUUCCCCUUUCUCAUGCACACAUUCGGGAGAAGAGCAUGACAUUUUGAUAGUUUGAAAAUUACCUUGGUUUCAUCAGGUUUUCUGGCUUCUGUGCCUGACAAAGUUUACAUUUCCUAAUGGCUCAGUAGAUAUCUUUUAAGGCUCCCAAUGAAGGGUAAGCAUGGUGGGCAAAAAUCGGUUUCUUACGCUUGCUGUAUAUUGUGACCAUAACGGGUGAAUGGCAGUGAGCGUGCAAGCUUGGAUGGACUUAUUUCUCCGUUUGAGUCUCUAAGAGAGAGCCUAGUGUUUUGCUGUAAGUGAAUUCAGCACUUGCUUUGACAGCCCAGUUUGUGCCUGUACAAUAAACAGCACAGGUAAGUUUACACAGCACAC